UAGUUUAAAAAAAUUGUAUUUUCAUUCACUUUCAUAGACUUAUCUUACUUUGUGAAAGUUUCUUUUUAUGUGAACACACAUCAAUAUAAAUUAAAGCGUUCAGAGCUGUUUGAAGUGCUUUGGCAACUUCCACUUUAACUACUCAAUAUCUGUUUAAUCUACUUGAUGGCCUUAAUACAGAAAAGACACCAAGUCCUCCACAACAGUCAUAAGUAUUUCAAAAGUAGCUCUACAUUCAUUCCAAUAAACUUAGGCAUGGUUAGCCCAAUAAACCCCAAAUUUUAGGCGCAAUUUUUUACCCCAAAAGGCGGUCGAGUAAGCAAGUCCGAGACGUCCCUUCCAGACAUGAUCGCCGCAAUCCGGCCCUCUGACGCAAAAAAUGUAAUAAAGAACAUGUCAUUCUUAAAAGAAAGUGGCAGCGUUGAUGGGACGGAUUGGCAGGGAAACUUUCACUUAUAAACAGUUCUGUCGAUAGAUGCCCCUCGGAGGAUCUGACUCGUAGGAGUGGGACGGAUAUUACUUUUGUGUAGAUGGCGUGUGUUGGUGAUGAAUGUAUUUAUUGGCGUAAAUAUGUUGUGUGAAAGAGCCGAUGGCUCCUCCUUCCUAACUGAGUUAAUGGCUGAAAUGAACUAGCUGUUGACAGCCCCUGAAUCGGAACCAAGGUGGCCGGACGGAGAAGACCAAGGUCUAACCCCGGACUGACAAAAGCUGGAAUUGUCGGUUGUCUGCGAGAAGUGACAGGCUCAACUCCUUACACGUGCGUUUGUGUGGUUUGCGUACAGAAUUGAGGUUAUAUAAAUUUGUAGACGUAGUGUGACUAUUUGUAUACAUCAUUAUUUACUGAAGAGGAAGGCAGCUUAUUCGUUUAGUGUAUUUGACUUCCAAUCAGAAGGACUUAAAAAAAAAAGAAUAAUCUUAACAAUCACCAUCACAAUAAAAACUGCCAUUACUGUUUUAUUUUUAAUAAUAACGCUAUGCGUUAUACUCAGAAAAAAAAGAACCACAGAUCGAGAAAAAACAUCACCGUUCGAAUGUGGAUUUGAUUCAUAAGUAACCUAUUUAAUAAACCUAAUACUAAGAAUACAAUUAUUUUUUGGGAAAAAAGCAUAAUUAUAAAUAAAUUAUCUCAAAUUUAACUGAUUCAAACAGUUUGCCCAACGAUGUAAAUGAUGAGAGUUAUAAUUUGUAUAAUCAAGAUUUACUUUCCAGUAAAUCUACUUUGUUACGAUUUAUUUUGGACCCAAGAGCAAUGGGCGGCGUGUACAUAACCUAGAGCUAAAAUCAUAAUUAAAAUAUAUUAAAUAAGACUACCUAAUUCAUUGUGAAUUUUCCAUUUACAAAUCCUAACUUAAUAAAAAAGUAACCCACCACCAGCUUUUUUAAUGCUGCACAUUGACCUGAUAUAAUUCUUAAAAAGAAGGAAAAAUACAUUCAAUUACAGAGGUACACAAGCCCUAAAAAAGUAAAAUUCCUCGUGGAUCAUCGAUUAAAGAGCAGGUUCCUCUGGAUAGACUAAGUUACCGCCAAAUUCUUUUAAUUUCAAGAGCAUAA
rnacentral:lncRNA from 1 species